GACAGAGGUGCCGAGCGUUAGGCGGAAUCACUGGGCUUAAAGCGUGUAUAGGCGGAUGCCUAAGUCCCUUGUGAAAUCCCACGGCUUAACCGUGGAACUGCUUGGUAUACUGGGUGUCUUGAGCCACUUAGGGGCGACCGGAACAAACGGUGGAGCGGUGAAAUGCGUAGAUAUCGUUUGGAACGCCAAUGGUGAAAACAGGUCGCUGGGAGUGCGCUGACGCUGAGACACGAAAGCCAGGGGAGCGAACGGG
rnacentral:rRNA from 1 species